UCCUGGCUCAGGAUGAACGCUAGCUACAGGCUUAACACAUGCAAGUCGAGGGGGCAGCAUGUUGGUUGCUUGCAACCAAUGAUGGCGACCGGCGCACGGGUGAGUAACGCGUAUCCAACCUCCCCUUAGUAGAGGAUAGCCCGGCGAAAGUCGGAUUAAUACUCUAUGUUCUUCAAUGCGGACAUCUAAGUUGAAGCAAAGAUUUAUCGCUAAGGGAUGGGGAUGCGUCUGAUUAGGUUGCAGGCGGGGUAACGGCCCACCUGGCCUACGAUCAGUAGGGGUUCUGAGAGGAAGGUCCCCCACACUGGUACUGGGACACGGACCAGACUCCUACGGGAGGCAGCAGUGAGGAAUAUUGGUCAAUGGGCGCGAGCCUGAACCAGCCAAGUAGCGUGCAGGGAACCGACUGCCCUAUGGGUUGUAAACUGCUUUUAUCAGGGAAUAAAGUGAGGCACGCGUGCCUUUUUGUAUGUACCUGAUGAAUAAGGACCGGCUAAUUCCGUGCCAGCCGCUGC
rnacentral:rRNA from 1 species